CUUUUCUGGGCCUCGACAGUGUUAUUUACUUGGCAGUCAAUGGGACAGUCACAAGCCUCCCGGUUUUCAUCUAAAAUAUCUUAAAUUGUGUUCUGAAGACGAACGAAGCUUUUACGAGUUUGGAACGACAUGGGGGAUAACAGAUAUGCUAUGCUGGAUCCUAAAGUAUCUGUUCUCCUGCUGAAUAAGGGGCUGAGGCUGGAUGGGACAAUCCCCCUGGGGAUGUGUUGUGGAUUGAUGCUGGAUUACCUACUCGGAUUAAAGAGAUUAUCAUCCCGUGGCUCACAGGGGAACUGCUUUAUUGAUGCAAGCCCAAAAUCUGAUAAUAAGGAAUGACCUUGGAGCAUGAGUGACACAACCAAGAGCAUGGGGGUGAGCGAUCUGGAACAUGGUUUUUCUCUGAGACUGUCCUUGGGAGAGACUGUCAUAACUGGGGCAGAAAAAUUGUCAAUUAGAUUAGCAAGCUGAAUAACAACCAGGCCUGUAUUGAAGGUGCUCGCCAUUGCUUUUUUAGACUGAAUGUUAUCUAAUGGAUCAGGCAUUCUGUGCUCCAGUGCUUUGUGUAGAAUAGCUACAGACUACGUUAAAUGCAAACUAAUGUAUACUGAUCCCGAUCCCAAUAGAUUUUUAUCAAUGGUGAAGGUUUCUCUCCACAGAAAUGAUGCUGAAAAAUAAAAUUUUUCACCCUGUGCUAUAGGUAAAAUGUUGAAUCGUUACAUACGUUUCAACACCAAAGACCCACAGAUGAGUGGUCAGUCUUAGCAAUGGUUGUUAGGUUUCUUCUCAGCAUGACAAGGGCAAAACUUGCAUUUAGUUGCGACAAUGAAGGUGGAAUAGGAUACGGCAGCUUUAUCUAACGAGACCACCUCAAGCACAAGGAAGAGAAAGGGUCUUUAAACACCCAAGACACAACACUGGCCUUGUAUGUGUUCAUCAUGCACUCUAUUCACUGACUACUGGAACAUGAGCUGAACACACAGCUACAACAAUGCUGAGGGCCUGCCAAGGCCUCUCUCUUUCAGUAUACACAAAAUCAUGAAUCAUCAGAUGUACUGUAUGUAUAAUGUAGUAUGCUUUGUCCAUCCCAAAUUUUGGAGACAAU